GAUGAACGCUGGCGGCGUGCCUAAUACAUGCAAGUCGAGCGAACGGACGAGAAGCUUGCUUCUCUGAUGUUAGCGGCGGACGGGUGAGUAACACGUGGAUAACCUACCUAUAAGACUGGGAUAACUUCGGGAAACCGUAGCUAAUAACGGAUAAUAUUUUGAACUGCAUGGUUCAAAAGUGAAAGACGGUCUUGCUGUCACUUAUAGAUGGAUCCGCGCUGCAUUAGCUAGUUGGUAAGGUAACGGCUUACCAAGGCAACGAUGCAUAGCCGACCUGAGAGGGUGAUCGGCCACACUGGAACUGAGACACGGUCCAGACUCCUACGGGAGGCAGCAGUAGGGAAUCUUCCGCAAUGGGCGAAAGCCUGACGGAGCAACGCCGCGUGAGUGAUGAAGGUCUUCGGAUCGUAAAACUCUGUUAUUAGGGAAGAACAUAUGUGUAAGUAACUGUGCACAUCUUGACGGUACCUAAUCAGAAAGCCACGGCUAACUACGUG
rnacentral:rRNA from 1 species